GUCAACAAAGCCGCGGGCCAGUAGCACGUAAGCAUGGCCAGAACGCAUAGCCAAUAAGAAUGCUUCUUCAAGAAACAUCAUGCAACGCGUGACAGUAAACCCUUAUGGAUCAAACCCACUUUUAGCAGCAACAUAAUAUUUCCAGUAUCAACAUGUUCAUCACUACAAACCCCAGCUCAAAAAUUUUUCUCUCCAAAUUCAAAAACAAA
rnacentral:lncRNA from 1 species